AGUUCGGAUUGCAGGCUGCAACCCGCCUGCAUGAAGCCGGAAUCGCUAGUAAUCGCGGAUCAGAAUGCCGCGGUGAAUACGUUCCCGGGUCUUGUACACACCGCCCGUCACACCAUGGGAGUCGGAAAUGCCCGAAGCCGGUGGCCUAACCGAUAAGGGAGGAGCCGUCGAAGGCAGGUCUGAUGACUGGGGUGAAGUCGUAACAAGGUAUC
rnacentral:rRNA from 1 species